UACAGAGGGUGCGAGCGUUGUCCGGAAUCACCGGGCGUAAAGGGCGCGUAGGCGGCCUGAUAAGUCGGGGGUGAAAUCCUGUGGCUUAACCACAGGGCUGCCUCCGAGACUGUCGGGCUCGAGCACAGUAGAGGCAGGUGGAAUUCCCGAUGUAGCGGUGGAAUGCGUAGAGAUCGGGAAGAACAUCGGUGGCGAAGGCGGCCUGCUGGGCUGUUGCUGACGCUGAGGCGCGACAGCGUGGGGAGCAAACAGG
rnacentral:rRNA from 1 species